GACGAACGCUGGCGGCGUGCCUAAUACAUGCAAGUCGAAUGCAUUUUCUUUCACCGUAGCUUGCUACACCGAAAGAAAAUGAGUGGCGAACGGGUGAGUAACACGUGGGUAACCUGCCCAUCAGCGGGGGAUAACACUUGGAAACAGGUGCUAAUACCGCAUAAUUCCAUUUACCGCAUGGUAGAUGGAUGAAAGGCGCUUUUGCGUCACUGAUGGAUGGACCCGCGGUGCAUUAGCUAGUUGGUGGGGUAACGGCCUACCAAGGCUGCGAUGCAUAGCCGACCUGAGAGGGUGAUCGGCCACACUGGGACUGAGACACGGCCCAGACUCCUACGGGAGGCAGCAGUAGGGAAUCUUCGGCAAUGGACACAAGUCUGACCGAGCAACGCCGCGUGAGUGAAGAAGGGUUUCGGAUCGUAAAACUCUGUUGUUAGAGAAGAACAAGGAUGAGAGUGGAAAGUUCAUCCCUUGACGGUAUCUAACCAGAAAGCCACGGCUAACUACGUG
rnacentral:rRNA from 1 species